CAAGGAGAGGCAACGACUUCGGCAGAAGAUUACCUCGCUAAAAGGUAUGAGCAAGCCAACAAACUGAGGAGAGGUCUGUGAGGAUUUGCCAAAAAACUGCCCGCCAGAAAGGCCAUAUGUUUGGCUUUACUCUGAUCUGUCGGCGGGCCCUCCAGCUAGAGCAGAUGAUUCUAGGUAAAGACCCAGCAGACUAUAGCCUUCAAUGCGUCCUCCACUACCUCCUAAACA